AUUGAACGCUGGCGGCAGGCCUAACACAUGCAAGUCGAACGGCAGCACAGAAGAGCUUGCUCUUUGGGUGGCGAGUGGCGGACGGGUGAGUAAUGUCUGGGAAACUGCCCGAUGGAGGGGGAUAACUACUGGAAACGGUAGCUAAUACCGCAUAACGUCGCGAGACCAAAGUGGGGGACCUUCGGGCCUCACACCAUCGGAUGUGCCCAGAUGGGAUUAGCCAGUAGGUGGGGUAAUGGCUCACCUAGGCGACGAUCCCUAGCUGGUCUGAGAGGAUGCCACGCCACACUGGAACUGAGACACGGUCCAGACUCCUACGGGAGGCAGCAGUGGGGAAUAUUGCACAAUGGGCGCAAGCCUGAUGCAGCCAUGCCGCGUGUAUGAAGAAGGCCUUCGGGUUGUAAAGUACUUUCAGCGGGGAGGAAGGCGGUGAGGUUAAUAACCUCGCCGAUUGACGUUACCCGCAGAAGAAGCACCGGCUAACUCCGUGCCAGCCGCCGCAGUAA
rnacentral:rRNA from 1 species